CCGUUUGUUGAGAGAUUUUGAAAGUAUUUAAUCUCCAAAACACCACUGAGAAGUGCGAUUUGGUGCACAGAGGCAAAACAAUUCCACAUUUGUGCUUUUCAGUUGAUACAGACAGAGGAAAGCUACUUCUCCAGACAGACUGUUGCUGCUUUGGAACGUACACAAGGGUCAGCGAUUUGGAUCCUGCUUGUUCCCCAGGGACCUUUGGGUUGAGAAUGGGAGAAGAUGGCAUUUGGACACCAGUGUGUUUGAUUCCCAGAGAACCCCUAAAUCCAUUUCAGAAGUGCCAUUGUCCUCUAGGGAGUGAUGAAUAAGAAAAGGAAGAGCCAGAAGCAUCCUCAGGUGGUGUGAAGAGUGAAAGUUCCAUCAAGAAGAGGAGAGUCAGGUGCAGACUGAACUGGCCCCUGUCAAUCAUUUGCUCUGGAAACAUUUGGAAACAUGCAUGGGCUGCCACU
rnacentral:lncRNA from 1 species